rnacentral:tRNA from 1 species
GCCUGGCUGGCUCAGUCGGAAGAGCAUGAGACUCUUGAUCUCAGGGAGUUGUGAGUUCAAGUCCCACAUGGGGUG